AUCCUUUUAGUAUAAUAAUUAUAAUUAACUUCCAAUUAAAAGAUCUCUAGAUUAGAGAAAGGAUA
rnacentral:tRNA from 1 species